CAGUUGUAUUUAACUUAAAAAUUCACGGAUAUAUUAAUGUUAAAAAUGGGGAGCAUAUUUUGGAAUGCGUCUAAAAUUAGCGAAAAUCGGCAUAUCAAAUAUUAACUCCAGCGUUUGUUUGCUUAAUGACAUAUUAGGCUAACUUGUAUUUCAGCGAAUUAUCGUUAAGGUUUGUAAGGGAUAUGGCGUAGAUUUGGACAUCUUACAUGUAAGUCUUAG
rnacentral:lncRNA from 1 species